UGAGCUAUCAGAAGCCCUCCCCCCCUGGUUCGCUCUCUGCCUCUUGGUUCUACUUUGUUUCUUUCCAGUUAAGUCAGUUUUCAUUCCCUGUAUAAACUGACUACUGAGAACUACUUUUGUUUCACCUACAGUUCUACCUCAUGACAGCAGAGCGACAUGGCUUUUUCAUCUCGCUUUUCCUUCUGGGAAAAAAAGGGAAGUCUUACUCGGAUAUGUGAUUGACACAAUCUUUAAAUGCAUGACCUAACAGGAAUUUUAAGCAAACAAUAACAUCUCUGCUUGUAAAGUCUUUCGUUUUGAAGAAGUUUUCACUUUUCUAAUUUUAUCAUUUGCUGUGGACUUAACUGCUUUUAAUCAUAACGCCAACAUGUUUGGAUUGCAUCACUUUGUUAAAGAAAGGACAGCACGUAAAGAUGAAGGAACAAUUUGCAGUGGUGGCAUCUUUGCAUGUUGAGUUUGGCUCCGUUUGUUAGCAUUAGCUUCAUGUAAGGAGAAGGUUUUGAUUUGGUCUCCUUCUUCACAUCAACACUUUUUAGAUCAAAGAAGAGAACAAGGUGGGGAGCAAAAGUUUGGAAAAAGAUGGACUAGCAAGCCGAGCCCAG